rnacentral:rRNA from 1 species
GAUGAACGCUGGCGGCGUGCUUAACACAUGCAAGUCGAACGAGAAGUGAAGACGGAAACCUUCGGGCGGAAGGCUUUAUUUCGAGUGGCGGACGGGUGAGUAACGCGUGGGUAACCUGCCUCAUACAGGGGGAUAACAGUUGGAAACGACUGUUAAUACCGCAUAAGACCACAGCACCGCAUGGUGCGGGGGUAAAAACUCCGGUGGUAUGAGAUGGACCCGCGUUCGAUUAGCCAGUUGGCGGGGUAACGGCCCACCAAAGCGACGAUCGAUAGCCGAUCUGAGAGGAUGACCGGCCACAUUCGGACUGAGACACGGCCCAAACUCCUACGGGAGGCAGCAGUGGGGAAUAUUGCACAAUGGGGGAAACCCUGAUGCAGCGACGCCGCGUGAGUGAAGAAGUAUUUCGGUAUGUAAAGCUCUAUCAGCAGGGAAGAAAAUGACGGUACCUGAGUAAGAAGCCCCGGCUAACUACGUG